UACGUAGGGCGCAAGCGUUGUCCGGAAUUAUUGGGCGUAAAGAGCUCGUAGGCGGUCUGUCGCGUCCGUUGUGAAAACUCGAGGCUCAACCGCGGGCCUGCAGCCGAUACGGGCAGGCUGGAGUUCGGUAGGGGAGACUGGAAUUCCUGGUGUAGCGGUGAAAUGCGCAGAUAUCAGGAGGAACACCGAUGGCGAAGGCAGGUCUCUGGGCCGAUACUGACGCUGAGGAGCGAAAGCGUGGGGAGCGAACAGG
rnacentral:rRNA from 1 species